rnacentral:lncRNA from 1 species
UUUUACAUCAAUCUUCCAACCAGACCCAUCUUUCGCCGGAGUCGACCUGAUUUUAAAUGGGCAUCCACAUUUCUUGGACGCACUUUGGGUUCCACUAUCAGUACUCUUGUGUUUCCCACCUUUAUCAAAACCAAAUAUUAAUUUGUUACUUCUCCCUCUCUUCCCUGUUUCAGUAUCUGAACGACUGAUAAUAACAGUUACUUUAUUAUCGAUUCCAACCUCUUUAAUCCAUCUGAUCACCUCUUCUCGUGUACCGAAUCUUUCAGUCGUUAUAAACG